rnacentral:rRNA from 1 species
CAUGUAGGCGGUUUUGUAAGCCUGGUGUGAAAUCCUGCAGCUUAACUGUAGAAUUGCAUUGGGUACUGCGAGACUUGAAUCACAGGGGGGAAACUAGAAUUCCAGGUGUAGGGGUGGAAUCUGUAGAUAUCUGGAAGAAUACCGGUGGCGAAGGCGGGUUUCUAGCUGAUGAUUGACGCUGAGGUGCGAAAGUGCGGGGAGCAAACA